AAUUAUUUAUUGAGGAUCAAUUUAAUAUUGUUAGAUCUAUCAUUAUUUUUAAAUAAUUUUCAAUGUUAUAUAACUUUUUCAUUUGUUUAAAAGAUAUCUUAGUAUAAUUAGAUUUUAAUUAGAUCUACGAUUAUUAGAUCUACAAAUUUUCUAGUACGUCUAAAAUAUGUUGCUUACUUUCUCUAGAUGUUUACGGUGAUUAAAUUACCUUAAAGUUAUUCCAAUUGAAUUUGUAGAUUUCAUUAGAGUGCAUUUAUUUUAUAUAAUUAAUUUCUUAAAGUUAUGUCAUCAAAUUCGAUAUGUUUCAAGAAAGAUCUAUAUUCUUGUGCACGAAACAAAAACUUGUAUAAGUUUCUUUUAUUAUAAUAUAUUUGAAUUGAUUUUGUUAUUGAUCUAUAUUAUUUCAUUGCAGUACACUUCGUGGUGAGGUUGUUCUUGGUAUAUUAUAAAAGCACAAGGAACUUGGCCUGGGUCUACUUGCAACAAGAUAAAUACUCAUUAGCAGAGGAGCUUUAUAGGUAUGUCAGUUAUAUAGUCAAAUUUGUAUGCAUUAUUCUGUGUAAUUAUGAGUCAAAUGUAAGUCAUCAUUUUUUCAUGAAUUAUACAUUGAUACAUAAAAACCUUGUUAUUUGAGCAAGAUAAGAAUUUAUUUUUUUUUGAAUUUGGAUAUUAGAUUGAUGUACGUGUAAGAACAUGAAGACGGAAGUCAAAUCUCUGUUUAAGCGUGCAACAUCAUGUGAAAAUGGUUUGAUGGAAGAGAAACAUGCCAAGUCAUUUGAAUGUGCAUCUAAGCUACUGGUUGAAUUAGAAUCAUAUAGUUCCGAGGAAACCAGAAAAUCAUUAUCAUCAUCUAUGAGAAGAGACACCGAAGAACACCUCAAUAAAGGUCAUAAUUGAGAUUUUUUAGUCAGAAAUUGGCAUAUAGUAAUAGCCAAACAACAUCGUCAAUGGAUGCUACGAAGAGAUUUCUUUGCACUUGGAGUGACAACAUUAUCAAAAUAUAUUCGAAGCAUAGGAAGAAGAAAAUAUAAAUCACUAUUUCAAAUGAUGAUAGCUACCUUGAACAUAUACCCAUGUAAGAUGAUUUAUGGUAUGUUCUGAAUGUUAGUGUUUGUACUGAAGUUAAAAUUUCCAAUCA